rnacentral:rRNA from 1 species
UACGUAGGUGGCAAGCGUUGUCCGGAAUUAUUGGGCGUAAAGCGCGCGCAGGCGGUCCUUUAAGUCUGAUGUGAAAGCCCACGGCUCAACCGUGGAGGGUCAUUGGAAACUGGGGGACUUGAGUGCAGGAAAGAAGAGUGGAAUUCCACGUGUAGCGGUGAAAUGCGUAGAGAUGUGGAGGAACACCAGUGGCGAAGGCGACUCUUUGGCCUGUAACUGACGCUGAGGCGCGAAAGCGUGGGGAGCAAACAGG